UAUUGGUAUUUUGUAAACUUCAUCCUUUGUCUGUCAGUAAAGUUAAUUUUUAUCAAAUCAUUUAUCUAGAACUAAUGAGAGACUGCAAGAGCCCUCCAGUGGCCAAGCUAAUUUCUGCAAAAAUACCAUCAUCAGAAUGAAAAAGGAAUUGUAUGCAGUUGUUAAAUCUUGACAGCGAAGAGAAGGGAUGGCUAGAAUUAUUUUAGCUGUUUAAAGGGCCAUAUGCUGUACUUGUAGGAACUAUGAUCUCAUAGGUUGAAUUAGACAGGAUAUCAUUUAAUGCAGUCUGAGACUCUUGGCAGAGAAGUGGAUGAAUAGAAUUGCUACUUGAAGAGAGAAAACACUCUGAGAGGAUUCAAGCCUAAAACUCCAGCUGAAUUUGAAUCUCCAGGUGGAAGUGAAUUGUGAAGGUGCCACUCUUCUCUGCUGGAAGUAUAUGCAUUGAGGCCAGCGUGUCUAGUAACUGUGUGUACUGAAUGCCUCGCGUUUGUCCCUACUGCACUUUUCAGUCUGUCACAAUCCUGGGUCGUCGGGGGACUGUACCGAGCGCCCUUGGAGUGCUCGCAGCAGGGAAGAAGGAGCGAGCAGGGAGGAGCUGAGGAGGGUCGGAGCGGAAUGGACACCCAGAGACUGAGAUGAGAGAGGGGCUAUAAGAAGAGAAACCAGUCGCAGGAAAACAGAACUCUCGACAAACGCACGCCCUCUUUGCGCUCUCCGUUUCUCUGGACCUGGAUGGAAUUGUUUUACUUUGCAUCGCCGGACUGCGCUGCGGACGGGGUGGGGCGGCCCAAUGGCCCCCCUGGGGUUACUCUGCUCCCCUUCACGCUUCCCUCCCGGCCCCGCCCCGCGA
rnacentral:lncRNA from 1 species